AACGAACGCUGGCGGCAUGCCUAACACAUGCAAGUCGAACGAGACCUUCGGGUCUAGUGGCGCACGGGUGCGUAACGCGUGGGAACCUGCCCUUAGGUUCGGAAUAACUCCCCGAAAGGGGUGCUAAUACCGGAUAAUGUCUUCGGACCAAAGAUUUAUCGCCUUUGGAUGGGCCCGCGUUGGAUUAGCUAGUUGGUAGGGUAAAAGCCUACCAAGGCGACGAUCCAUAGCUGGUCAGAGAGGAUGAUCAGCCACACUGGGACUGAGACACGGCCCAGACUCCUACGGGAGGCAGCAGUGGGGAAUAUUGGACAAUGGGCGAAAGCCUGAUCCAGCAAUGCCGCGUGAGUGAUGAAGGCCUUAGGGUUGUAAAGCUCUUUUACCCGGGAUGAUAAUGACAGUACCGGGAGAAUAAGCACCGGCUAACUCCGUG
rnacentral:rRNA from 1 species